GUGACCGAUGUAAGACAUUAUUAUUUUACAUAGUUCGAUGUAGAAUUGGAAGACAUUUCUAAGCCCCAGCUUGAUCUCGUGCUUUCUCAGUGCGCGAUUUUCCAACUCCAUGCGUAGGAAGUUCUUUGAUUGGCGAAAUCUUCUUUGAGUGUUCCUCAACUGAUCGUCUACUCUCGUGCAACAACCAAUUGAACGCAUUGUAUUCUUUGAAUGCACUAUUAGAAGCCUUGUCGGAUCCUCAAAACUACGUUCAUCAGAAACUUCAGAAGCUGGGUAAUUAUCGUAUUGCCAGUUUACUAGGAAAAGAAAAGGAUUGUGCCUACAAGUUGAGUAUCAGAAGUUAGAUCUACUUUGUAAGGAUCAAA